GCUCGGAUAGCUCAGUUGGUUAGAGCGUGGUGUUGAUAACACCAAGGUUGCAGGUUCAAUCCCUGUGUCGGACA